rnacentral:rRNA from 1 species
GACGAACGCUGGCGGCGUGCUUAACACAUGCAAGUCGAACGGUAAGGCCCUUCGGGGUACACGAGUGGCGAACGGGUGAGUAACACGUGGGUGAUCUGCCCUGCACUUCGGGAUAAGCCUGGGAAACUGGGUCUAAUACCGGAUAGGACUCCGGACUGCAUGGUCUGGGGUGGAAAGCUUUUGCGGUGUGGGAUGGGCCCGCGGCCUAUCAGCUUGUUGGUGGGGUGAUGGCCUACCAAGGCGACGACGGGUAGCCGGCCUGAGAGGGUGACCGGCCACAGUGGGACUGAGAUCCGGCCCAGACUCCUACGGGAGGCAGCAGUGGGGAAUAUUGCACAAUGGGCGCAAGCCUGAUGCAGCGACGCCGCGUGAGGGAUGACGGCCUUCGGGUUGUAAACCUCUUUCAGCAUCGACGAAGCGAAAGUGACGGUAGGUGCAGAAGAAGGACCGGCCAACUACGUGCCAGCAGCCGCAGUAA